rnacentral:rRNA from 1 species
AUGAAGGCCCUGCUCGACAAGCUCGUGGUGCUCAAGCUCAACGUAGGCCUCGACACCACCAUGGGCUGCACCGGCCCCAAUACGGUGUCGAUGGAGGCCCUCGCCGCUGGCGCUGAUGUGUCCAUGAUUGGGCAGUUUGGUGUUGGCUUCUACUCCGCCUACCUUGUUGCCGAGAGGGUCUUUGUCACCAUGAAGCACAACGACGACGGGCAGUACGUGUGGGAGUCCCAGGCCGGUGGCUCCUUCACCGUCACUCGUGAUACGUUUGGCGAGCAGCUCGGCAGGGGUACCAAGAUGGUCCUCUACCUCAAGGACGAUUAG